UUUUAAGAAACCUCUUUUGUGGCACUUUAAGGUGCCACUUAAACACUCUCCCCUGCAUUUGCUUUGACUGUACAUACCUCUCCAGCCUGAAAACUAACUGUACCACUAGAUUCUUUAUAAUUCCACAUACUUAGCACAAUAUCUUUAUAAAAAAAAAUUUGCCCAAAACAACUCUUAGAUCUAAGUUUAUAAUCCUAACCUCUUUGAAUGCAAGACAUUUCCAACUGACCAGUAACUGUCUCCACCUGAUGUCCUGUAAGAUUCUCACAUUUACCUAAUCCAAAUGGAUUUCCUUACAUCUCCCACCCACUUCAGGCUUCCAUUUCAUAUUGAGGUAUUUAUCCCAACCCUGAAUCAUGUUUACUCUCCCUUACUUGUUGUAAACUCUCAGCCACUAAACGCCGCAUCUGUACCUCUCCCCCAUUUCUCUCUCCCUUUUCCAAUGCCCUUGCUGAAGUUCCGAUAUGCUUCCCUGCCUCUCCCUGUGACCUAUCAAACCUACACAACAGCUGUCAUUUUCCCACUUCAAGCGACUAGAAAGUUCACAAAGAAGGCACAUGCCCUGCUUUACCCACUGCUGUAUCCCACAGCCCAAGGCUCCCAAUGUGAAACUGGCAUCCAAUGAUUUGCUUAAGUUUCCCCACCAGAUGGUGAUGCCAGCAGAUUAAGGACAGAUCUGUGUUCCUAGGACGAUGCCUGGCCCACCAGAGGCGCUCAGUAAAUGUGAUAUGAACUAUGAUACGAAUACAGUGAGUGAACGCGUCCCUCGAAGCCAUACCCCAUCCUCCUCUCCGCCAAACAAGCGGGAAGGGGUGGGAGGUGCACGUAGGCUAGAGGCGAAUACAAAGUCUGGCUUUGAGUUUUUCAGUAGUUGUUCUUUUUUUCUUUUUAUUGAAUACAACAUAUUGGAAAGAGCACAAGUCAUAACUGCGAAGUUCGUCAAUUUUCACAAGUAAGUACACCGGUGAAGCCAGCACCCAGACUGAGCACCAGAUCAUUACCAGCACCCAGAGGCCUCCCCGCGCCCUCUUGCGCGGAGUGCACGUUCAACCCGGCAAAGAGCUG